GCCAGGCUCCACCAUCACCUAGCAGGCCACAACCAGGCUCUACCACAGGUCUACCAGGUCUAUCCGUCAGUCAGCAUGUUAUCCUCGGUAGUCUUUUUUUCCUUUAUUGCUUUUAUUGACAGCUUUUUGUCUACAUGAGGUGCAGAAACAGUCUGUGGAGCAAGAGAAACCAUACUUCUUACUCCUCUCAAAGGGAACAAGGUGGGAUUUUACAUCUUUUAGAAGCUUCUCAAACGUGAUCAUCAGCAGAGAUCUCAUUUCAACUGAUUUAACUGAUUUAUUUAUUCCAAUAUGUGUAAAAAGAAAAUGUUUUAUUGUUCUUCUGCUUCUUUUAUCUGGAAAUGUGCAACCUAAUCCCGGUCCAGAUUGCAAAUGCUUAAGUACUCCUUGUGAUUUUAAAACUCGAACAGGUCUUGGUAUCACUCAUUGAAAUGUCAGAAGUCUUCUUCCCAAACUUGAUUUUGUGAAAAUUUGGAUGAGAGAGUUAGAUACCGAUAUUCUCAUAUUAUUAGAAACCUGGCUUACAAAAUUGAUUACUGACAAAGACAAAACGGGCUAUAAUCUUUUCCGUUGCGACCGCCCCAGAAAGGAUGGCGGUGUUGCAAUUUAUGUAAAAAGCAAAUUCCAUGUUACUGUUGAUUCAUCGGUAUCUGUUCGUAAACAGUUUGAACUUCUUGCCCUCAAGCUCCAACUUUUCAAGGGCUAUUUUAUUACCAUUGUGGGUUGUUAUAGACCCCCCUCGGCUAGUAGUAGAUAUUUUUACCAGCUUUGUUAAGUAUAUAGCACUAUUAUCCGAUGUGUGCAAGGACACCGAGCUGCAGGAAUGGAUCAAUGAGAUAUUUACACACGGCGUCUUAGGAAACAAACUCUCUGGGUUUCCGGCAUCCUUUAAUACUGUUGAGGAGGUGAUCAAGUUUAUCACCAUGGUGAUCUUCACAGUGUCAGUUCAACAUGCUGCACUCAAUAAUGGACAGUUUGACUACAGCUCCUGGAUGCCCUAUGGCUCAGGCUUGCUUCACAAACCUGCUCCAACCACAAAGGGGCAGUCAAGCAUGACGACAUUAUUGGAGACUCUUCCAAAUAUUGGGGAGACAGUAAAGUUUGCAGGAAUGCUUUGGGUACUUUCCCACAA